AUUCGCAGGAAGAGCCCAGGAUAGUUUCAUCCUUCGGAACAGCAUCGGUGAGUUUUAUCAUUCGGUACAGAAAAUCCUUUUUCAAAAAAUGGUAUUUCAAUCAUGAUCGAAUAGUUUGCAGUUCAGAAGAUGUUAAUUGAGUUAACAAAUCAGAACAGUUAAUGACUUUAACACUGGCAGAGCAUUUUGAAUAAAUCGCGGGACCAUUGCUUUGUUGAAUAAAUUUGGGAAGCCAUUCCGGUGCGGGCCUCUUCGGGAAGGGCCCAGGGUGCGAAAGUGUGAUGUAUUACAAGGCGAUUAAAAUGGGUAGAGCCAGGCUUUUCCCAGUCACGGGGUAAUACCAGGGUUUUCCCAGACUUCGAGCUGUAAAACGACGGCUCCUGAAGAGUACAAGGGUAACAGGGAAUCGAAUAGAGG
rnacentral:rRNA from 1 species